UGGGGAAUUUUGGACAAUGGGCGCAAGCCUGAUCCAGCCAUGCCGCGUGCGGGAAGAAGGCCUUCGGGUUGUAAACCGCUUUUGUCAGGGAAGAAAUCUUCUGAGUUAAUACCUCGGGAGGAUGACGGUACCUGAAGAAUAAGCACCGGCUAACUACGUGCCAGCAGCCGCGGUAAUACGUAGGGUGCAAGCGUUAAUCGGAAUACUGGGCGUAAAGCGUGCGCAGGCGGUUUUGUAAGACAGAGGUGAAAUCCCCGGGCUCAACCUGGGAACUGCCUUUGUGACUGCAAGGCUUGAGUGCGGCAGAGGGGGGAUGGAAUUCCGCGUGUAGCAGUGAAAUGCGUAGAUAUGCGGAGGAAACACCGAUGGCGAAGGCAAUCCCCUGGGCCUGCACUGACGCUCAUGCACGAAAGCGUGGGGAGCAAACAGGAUUAGAUAGCCCUGGUAGUCCACGCCCUAAAACGAUGUCAACUGGUUGUUGGGAAGGUUCCUUCUCAGUAACGUAGCUAACGCGUGAAGUUGACCGCCUGGGGAGUACGGCCGCAAGGUUG
rnacentral:rRNA from 1 species